CCUACGGGAGGCAGCAGUGGGGAAUAUUGGGCAAUGGGCGCAAGCCUGACCCAGCAACGCCGCGUGAAGGAAGAAGGCUUUCGGGUUGUCAACUUCUUUUAAGAGGGAAGAGCAGAAGACGGUACCUCUUGAAUAAGCCACGGCUAACUACGUGCCAGCAGCCGCGGUAAUACGUAGGUGGCAAGCGUUGUCCGGAGUUACUGGGUGUAAAGGGCGUGUAGCCGGGCUGACAAGUCAGAUGUGAACUUCCGGGGCUCAACCCCGGACCUGCAUUUGAAACUGUUGGUCUUGAGGAUCGGAGAGGCAGGCGGAAUUCCUAGGGGAGCGGUGAAAUGCGUAGAUAGUAGGAGGAACACCAGUGGCGAAGGCGGCCUGCUGGACGACAACGGACGGUGAGGCGCGAAAGCGUGGGGAGCAAACAGGAUUAGAGACCCCAGUAGUC
rnacentral:rRNA from 1 species